rnacentral:rRNA from 1 species
UGGGGAAUAUUGCACAAUGGGCGCAAGCCUGAUGCAGCCAUGCCGCGUGUGUGAAGAAGGCCUUCGGGUUGUAAAGCACUUUCAGCGGGGAGGAAGGCGAUAAGGUUAAUAACCUUGUCGAUUGACGUUACCCGCAGAAGAAGCACCGGCUAACUCCGUGCCAGCAGCCGCGGUAAUACGGAGGGUGCAAGCGUUAAUCGGAAUUACUGGGCGUAAAGCGCACGCAGGCGGUCUGUCAAGUCGGAUGUGAAAUCCCCGGGCUCAACCUGGGAACUGCAUUCGAAACUGGCAGGCUAGAGUCUUGUAGAGGGGGGUAGAAGUCCAGGUGUAGCGGUGAAAUGCGUAGAGAUCUGGAGGAAUACCGGUGGCGAAGGCGGCCCCCUGGACAAAGACUGACGCUCAGGUGCGAAAGCGUGGGGAGCAAACAGG